rnacentral:rRNA from 1 species
CAAACUCCUACGGGAGGCUGCAGUAGGAAAUCUUCCACAAUGGGCGAAAGCUUGAUGGAGCAACGCCGCGUGUGUGAUGAAGGCUUUCGGGUCGUAAAGCAUUGUUGUAUGGGAAGAACAGCUAGAAUAGGGAAUGAUUCUAGUUUGACGGUACCAUACCAGAAAGGGACGGCUAAAUACGUGCCAGCAGCCGCGGUAAUACGUAUGUCCCGAGCGUUAUCCGGAUUUAUUGGGCGUAAAGCGAGCGCAGACGGUUGAUUAAGUCUGAUGUGAAAGCCCGGAGCUCAACUCCGGAAUGGCAUUGGAAACUGGUUAACUUGAGUGCAGUAGAGGUAAGUGGAACUCCAUGUGUAGCGGUGGAAUGCGUAGAUAUAUGGAAGAACACCAGUGGCGAAGGCGGCUUACUGGACUGUAACUGACGUUGAGGCUCGAAAGUGUGGGUAGCAAACAGGAUUAGAUACCCUGGUAGUCCACACCGUAAACGAUGAACACUAGGUGUUAGGAGGUUUCCGCCUCUUAGUGCCGAAGCUAACGCAUUAAGUGUUCCGCCUGGGGAGUACGACCGCAAGGUUGAAACUCAAAGGAAUUGACGGGGACCCGCACAAGCGGUGGAGCAUGUGGUUUAAUUCGAAGCAACGCGAAGAACCUUACCAGGUCUUGACAUCCUUUGAAGCUUUUAGAGAUAGAAGUGUUCUCUUCGGAGACAAAGUGACAGGUGGUGCAUGGUCGUCGUCAGCUCGUGUCGUGAGAUGUUGGGUUAAGUCCCGCAACGAGCGCAACCCUUAUUGUUAGUUGCCAGCAUUCAGAUGGGCACUCUAGCGAGACUGCCGGUGACAAACCGGAGGAAGGCGGGGACGACGUCAGAUCAUCAUGCCCCUUAUGACCUGGGCUACACACGUGCUACAAUGGCGUAUACAACGAGUUGCCAACCCGCGAGGGUGAGCUAAUCUCUUAAAGUCCGUCUCAGUUCGGAUUGUAGUCUGCAACUCGCCUACAUGAAGUCGGAAUCGCUAGUAAUCGCGGAUCAGCACGCCGCGGUGAAUACGUUCCCGGGCCUUGUACACACCGCCCGUCACACC